rnacentral:rRNA from 1 species
GACGGAGGGUGCAAACGUUGUUCGGAAUCACUGGGCAUAAAGCGCACGUAGGCGGUCCGCUAAGUCAGUUGUGAAAUCCCUCGGCUCAACCGAGGAGUUGCACCUGAUACUGGCGGGCUCGAGAACGGUAGGGGUGAGUGGAACUCCAGGUGGAGCGGUGAAAUGCGUAGAUAUCUGGAGGAACACCGGUGGCGAAGGCGGCUCACUGGACCGUAUCUGACGCUGAGGUGCGAAAGCUAGGGUAGCAAACGGG